ACUUUGUAAACUUUUUAGUACCUGCUAGGGUUGUUUAUGCCUAUAUUUCUUGGACUCGGGUAUGAGUGUCCGACAUGGGUGUGUUCAAGGUUUUUUUUCAAGAUUUUCAUGUAUUUGAAGGGUCCUUUGAGGAUCAUAUCUCCAGAUCUAUUCCCGGAUAUGAAUCGGACGCAGAUGUCAAACACAGGUACUUCAAGAAAAAUGAAGAGUUGGAGCAACAUAGGUUUAUUCACCACUCUUUGUAGGUUUUGAUUUAAACAUAUACUCUUUGUGACUAUCACUUGGUAGGAGGUAGGUACCGGGGGGAUACUUUGCAUGAACUGUCAAACAAAAUGUUCUAUUUUCACAUUUUCCCCCUGUUUUUCUUAGCAAUAUAUCGCGAGUCUACCAAAAUGCUACAGAGAUUUUGGCUGCUAUUAAUGUAAUUUCAGGUGGUAGGAACUGAUGAGUUGAAUGUAUAUCUGAAUAAAUAUCAUUUAGAGCUUGAUCCUCAACUUGAGGCUCUUGUUGGAAGGCACAUUCGAAAACACUGGUCCAAAUUCAUUAAUGCGAAUAAUCAGCAUCUUGUCUCGCCAGAGGCAAUCAAUUUUCUAGAUAAGUUGCUUCGAUAUGAUCAUCAGGAAAGACCAACUGCAAAAGAAGCUAUGGCCCAUCCUUACUUUUCUCAAGUGAGGACAACUGAGAGUUGCAGGAUGCGUACUCAGUAGCCCAUUCACUUUGGGUCUAUUUGUACAUCAGUGGAGCCCGGACUCGGCUGGAUGACUGACCGUGCUU